CCAAUAGCGUAUAUUAAAGUUGUUGCAGUUAAAAAGCUCGUAGUUGAAUUUCGGGGUCAGUAGGUUGGUCAUGCCACUGGUAUGUACUGGUCUCACUGAUUCCUCCUUCCUGAUGAACCGUAAUGCCAUUAAUUUGGUGUUGCGGGGAGACUGGACUGUUACUUUGAAAAAAAAAGAGUGUUUAAAGAAGGCUACCGCUUGAAUACAUUAGCAUGGAAUAAUGAAAUAGGACGUUCGAUCCUAUUUUGUUGGUUUCUAGGAUUGACGUAAUGAUUAAUAGGGAUAGUUGGGGGCAUUAGUAUUCAAUUGUCAGAGGUGAAAUUCUUGGAUUUAUUGAAGACUAACUACUGCGAAAGCAUUUGCCAAGGAUGUUUUCAUUAAUCAAGAACGAAAGUUAGGGGAUCGAAGACGAUCAGAUACCGUCGUAGUCUUAACCAUAAACUAUGCCGACUAGGGAUCGGAUGAUGUUAAUUUUUUAAUGACUCAUUCGGCGCCUUACG
rnacentral:rRNA from 1 species